UUGAAACACAGGUUCCCUUACGAUCAUCGAUGUUAAGCAACCUCGAGCUUAUUCAGCACCUUGAUGGGUGACUACUUGUGAAAACCAGGUGCCGUAAG